rnacentral:rRNA from 1 species
UACGGAGGGUGCGAGCGUUGUCCGGAAUCACUGGGCGUAAAGGGCGCGUAGGCGGCCCUGGCAGUCGGUGGUGAAAGCCCCCGGCUCAACCGGGGAACUGGCACCGAAACGCCCCGUCUCGAGGGACGUAGGGGGACCUGGAACUUCCGGUGGAGCGGUGAAAUGCGUUGAGAUCGGAAGGAACGCCCGUGGCGAAAGCGAGGUCCUGGACGUCUACUGACGCUGAGACGCGAAAGCUAGGGGAGCGAACGGG